GACGAACGCUGGCGGCGUGGAUUAGGCAUGCAAGUCGAACGGUAUCAUCCUUUCGGGGGUGAGAGAGUGGCGAACUGGUGAGUAACACGUAGGUUAUCUACCCUCAAGACGGGGACAACCCAGGGAAACUUGGGCUAAUACCGGAUGUGAGCAACUUUUAGUUGUUUGAAAGGUGGCGUAAGCUGUCGCUUGGGGAUGAGCCUGCGUCCUAUUAGUUAGUUGGUGAGGUAACGGCUCACCUAGGCAAUGAUAGGUAGGCGGCCUUAACGGGUGGUCGCCCACACUGGGAUUGAGAUACGGCCCAGACUCCUACGGGAGGCAGCAGUCGAGAAUAGUCUACAAUGGUCGGAAGACUGAUAGUGCGACGCCGCGUGAACGAUGAAUCCCUUCGGGGUGUAAAGUUCUUUUAUAUGUGAGCAGUGCUUUCUUAUAUUAACAGUAUGGGGAAGAGAUAUUAGCAUAUGAAUAAGCAACGGCUAACUCCGUGCCAGCAGCCGCGGUAAUACG
rnacentral:rRNA from 1 species